ensembl:lncRNA
GUCGUCAGGUAUGGCAACCAAAAUCCAAUGUAUUCAAGACGUCAUAAUGGUAACGUCCAAUCAACGUCAAAUUAUAACGUCAUUUGACUUUGAUCUUUAGUUAGUUUUAGGUUGUGGCAUUAACUAACCAAAAUCCAACGUCGAGCCAAGGUCUCAAGCCAACGUCACAUUGACAUCAUGUUUUGUCGUCAGGUAUGGCAACCAUAAUCCAACGUUUUCUAGACGUCAUAAUGGCAACAUCCACACAACGUCAAAUUAAAACAUCAUUUGAUGUUGAUCUGUAGUUAGUUUUAGGUUGUGGCAUUAACUAACCAAAAUCCAACGUCGAGCCAACGUCUCAAGCCAACGUCACACUGACAUCAAAUACUGAUGUUUUGUCGUCAGGUAUGGCAACCAAAAUCCAACAUCUUGUAGACGUCAUUAUGGUAACGUCCGAUCAACGUCAAGUUAUAACAUCAUUUGAUGUUGAUCUGUAGUUAGUUUUAGGUUGUGGCAUUAACUAACCAAAAUCCAACGUCGAGCCAACGUCUCAAGCCAACGUCACAUUGACAUCAAAAACUUAUGUUUUGUCGUCAGGUAUGGCAACCAUAAUCCAAUGUUUCCUAGACGUCAUAAUGGCAACGUCCACACAACGUCAAAUUAAAACAUCAUUUGAUGUUGAUCUGUAGUUAGUUUUAGGUUGUGGCAUUAACUAACCAAAAUCCAACGUCGAGCCAACGUCUCAAGCCAACGUCACAUUGACAUCAAAUACUGAUGUUUUGUCGUCAGGUAUGGCAACCAAAAUCCAACAUC